rnacentral:rRNA from 1 species
AUUGAACGCUGGCGGCAGGCCUAACACAUGCAAGUCGAGCGGUAGAGAGGUGCUUGCACCUCUUGAGAGCGGCGGACGGGUGAGUGAUGCCUAGGAAUCUGCCUGGUAGUGGGGGAUAACGCUCGGAAACGGACGCUAAUACCGCAUACGUCCUACGGGAGAAAGCGGGGGCUCUUCGGACCUCGCGCUAACAGAUGAGCCUAGGUCGGAUUAGCUAGUUGGUGGGGUAAUGGCUCACCAAGGCGACGAUCCGUAACUGGUCUGAGAGGAUGAUCAGUCACAAGUGAACUGAGACACGGUCCAGACUCCUACGGGAGGCAGAAGUGGGGAAUAUUGGACAAUGGGCGAAAGCCUGAUCCAGCCAUGCCGCGUGUGUGAAGAAGGUCUUCGGAUUGUAAAGCACUUUAAGUCGGGAGGAAGGGCUGUAGGUUAAUACCCUGCGGUUUUGACGUUACCGACAGAAUAAGCACCGGCUAACUUCGUGCCAGCCGCCGCCGUAAGAC